rnacentral:rRNA from 1 species
UACAGAGGUGGCAAGCGUUGUUCGGAAUUACUGGGCGUAAAGGGCGCGUAGGCGGUCUUGUAAGUCUCGUGUGAAAUCCCUCGGCUUAACUGAGGAACUGCACGGGAUACUGCAUGACUUGAGAUCGGGAGAGGGAAGCGGAAUUCCGGGUGUAGCGGUGAAAUGCGUAGAUAUUGGGAGGAACACCAGUGGCGAAGGCGGCUCACUGGACCGGAACUGACGCUGAGGCGCGAAAGCGUGGGGAGCAAACAGG